CGCUCGCUCGCUCGCUACCGGACGGAGGAGGAAAGUAGAGCGCAGAGAACAACUCGCCGGGUAUUGUACCGAUAGAAGUAGCAGCGCUGCUCGGGCCUUUAAUCCUUUUGGAGUCUACCGAUGCAUGUGUUAUCAGGGUGGGGAGAGGACGCAGUAAUGGGAUAGAGAACUUGACAAAAGUAAUCAACUUCAAAUAGCCUCUCUACCUAAGAAGUUUUGAUGAAA